CAGGAUUAGAUACCCUGUAGUCCACGCCGUAAACGAUGUCUACUAGCUGUAGGGGUACUUGAGACCUUUGUAGCGCAGCUAACGCACUAAGUAGACCGCCUGGGGAGUACGGCCGCAAGGUUAAAACUCAAAUGAAUUGACGGGGGCCCGCACAAGCAGUGGAGCAUGUGGUUUAAUUCGAUGCAACGCGAAGAACCUUACCAGGCCUUGACAUCCUCGGAACUUUCUAGAGAUAGAUUGGUGCCUUCGGGAACCGAGUGACAGGUGCUGCAUGGCUGUCGUCAGCUCGUGUCGUGAGAUGUUGGGUUAAGUCCCGUAACGAGCGCAACCCUUGUCCUUAGUUGCCAGCACAUUAUGGUGGGAACUCUAAGGAGACUGCCGGUGACAAACCGGAGGAAGGUGGGGACGACGUCAAGUCAUCAUGGCCCUUACGGCCUGGGCUACACACGUGCUACAAUGGCUAGGACAGACGGCCGCAAACCCGCGAGGGGGAGCCAAUCCGACAAACCUAGUCGUAGUCCGGAUCGGAGUCUGCAACUCGACUCCGUGAAGUCGGAAUUGCUAGUAAUCGCGAAUCAGAAUGUCGCGGUGAAUACGUUCCCGGGCCUUGUACACACCGCCCGUCACACCAUGGGAGUGGGUUGCUCCAGAAGUGGUUAGUCUAACCUUCGGGAGGACGAUCACCACGGAGUGAUUCAUGACUGGGGUGAAGUCGUAACAAGGUAGCCCUAGGGGAACCUGUGGUUGGAUCACCUCCUU
rnacentral:rRNA from 1 species